UACCGUGCUAAGCGGGGAGGUAGCGGUGCCCUGUACUUGCAAUCCGCUCCAGCAAGGCUGAAUUCCACUUUUGAGGAUUUGAAGUGUGAGGACUGCCUCGGGAGUUCCGGUGUUGAGACUGCGGUCCUAUGCAAUAGAACGUCAUGAAUCAUGUCAGGUCCGGAAGGAAGCAGCAUUAAGUGGCCCAUUCUAUGUGCCGUAGGGUUGCCGUGGUUGAGCUGGUCUCCCGAGUAACGCUUGUUCAUCAUAUUCGAUUAAGUGGUGCACGGUU
rnacentral:SRP_RNA from 1 species